ensembl:lncRNA
GGGGGAGUCGGGGGGCGGGGGCGGCGGUGCGCGGACCGAACCACCACCGCCACCGCCACGGUGUUGUCUGCGGUUUUAAUUCCUCCCCGUGGGGUCAUGAGGAACCGAAGCUGGCGGAGUCCCAGGAAUAUGCCCGCUACCCCAAGCAGGAGGGGAUGUCAAGGGCAUGGUGGGGGCUUGUGACCACAUCAGCUCUGUCUCCAAGUUCCAGCUCCCAGCGCACGCCCUGCAUUUCCAUGCCUCUGUGUCUCUGCGUGCGCUGUCUGAUCUGCCAGGGGAACUUUUACUCAUCCUUCAAACUCAGUUCCAGCAAUUCCUCUUCCAGGAAGCCUUCCCUGAUUUCUUCUCCAUCAUCUCUGCCUCCCCCACUACCCCACCAACAGAGUCACUGUAAUUAAUCUUUUUAAUGUAUAUCUGUCUUGUUCAUCGGGGGGCGGGGCAGGUUCCUUGGGGAUAGGGAACAAGUCUCAUUUGCCUAUUGUAUCCUGAGCACUGGGCACACAG